rnacentral:rRNA from 1 species
AUUGAACGCUGGCGGCAUGCUUUACACAUGCAAGUCGAACGGUAACAGGCCUUCGGGUGCUGACGCGUGGAGGACGGGCGAGUAAUGCAUUGGAACGUGCCCAGCGGUGGGGGAUAACGCAGCGAAUGCUGUGCUCAUUCCGCAAGUGCUCUGAGGGUCAAAGCGGGGGACCAGGCAGCCCUGUUUGGCCUCGCGCCCUUGGAGCGGCCGAUGUCAGAUUAGGUAGUUGGUGAGGUAAAGGCCUACCAAGCCGACGAUCUGUAGCUGGUCUGAGAGGACGACCAGCCACACUGGGACUGAGACACGGCCCAGACUCCUACGGGAGGCAGCAGUGGGGAAUUUUGGACAAUGGGCGCAAGCCUGAUCCAGCAAUGCCGCGUGCGGGAAGAAGGCCUUCGGGUUGUAAACCGCUUUUGUACGGAACGAAAAGGCUCUGGCUAAUACCUGGGGCUGAUGACGGUACCGUAAGAAGAAGCACCGGCUAACUACGUG